UACGUAGGGUGCGAGCGUUGUCCGGAAUUAUUGGGCGUAAAGGGCUCGUAGGCGGUUUGUCGCGUCGGGAAUGAAAACCUACAGCUUAACUGUGGGCUUGCUUUCGAUACGGGCAGACUUGAGGCAUGCAGGGGAGAACGGAAUUCCUGGUGUAGCGGUGAAAUGCGCAGAUAUCAGGAGGAACACCGGUGGCGAAGGCGGGUCUCUGGGCCGAUACUGACGCUGAGGAGCGAAAGCGUGGGGAGCAAACAGG
rnacentral:rRNA from 1 species